CACGUAGGGCGCAAGCGUUGUCCGGAAUUAUUGGGCGUAAAGAGCUCGUAGGCGGUCUGUUGCGUCCGCUGUGAAAACUCGGGGCUUAACCCCGAGCCUGCAGUGGAUACGGGCAGACUAGAGGUAGGUAGGGGAGAAUGGAAUUCCCGGUGUAGCGGUGAAAUGCGCAGAUAUCGGGAGGAACACCGGUGGCGAAGGCGGUUCUCUGGGCCUUACCUGACACUGAGGCGCGAAAGCUAGGGGAGCAAACAGG
rnacentral:rRNA from 1 species